rnacentral:rRNA from 1 species
AAGGUCCCAAGCGUUGUUCGGAAUUACUGGGCGUAAAGCGCGCGUAGGCGGACUAUUAAGUCAGAGGUGAAAUCCCGGGGCUCAACCCCGGAACUGCCUUUGAUACUGGUAGUCUUGAGUUCGAGAGAGGUAAGUGGAAUUCCGAGUGUAGAGGUGAAAUUCGUAGAUAUUCGGAGGAACACCAGUGGCGAAGGCGGCUUACUGGCUCGAUACUGACGCUGAGGUGCGAAAGUGUGGGGAGCAAACAGG